AUGAACGCUGGCGGCGUGCCUAAUACAUGCAAGACGAGCGAACAGAUAAGGAGCUUGCUCCUUUGACGUUAGCGGCGGACGGGUGAGUAACACGUGGGUAACCUACCUAUAAGACUGGGAUAACUUCGGGAAACCGGAGCUAAUACCGGAUAACAUUUGGAACCGCAUGGUUCUAAAGUGAAAGAUGGUUUUGCUAUCACUUAUAGAUGGACCCGCGCCGUAUUAGCUAGUUGGUAAGGUAACGGCUUACCAAGGCGACGAUACGUAGCCGACCUGAGAGGGUGAUCGGCCACACUGGAACUGAGACACGGUCCAGACUCCUACGGGAGGCAGCAGUAGGGAAUCUUCCGCAAUGGGCGAAAGCCUGACGGAGCAACGCCGCGUGAGUGAUGAAGGGUUUCGGCUCGUAAAACUCUGUUAUUAGGGAAGAACAAAUGUGUAAGUAACUGUGCACGUCUUGACGGUACCUAAUCAGAAAGCCACGGCUAACUACGUG
rnacentral:rRNA from 1 species